rnacentral:rRNA from 1 species
CCCUUCUUCUUUUUUGGCUUCCUAUGAGGGGAAAGGUGGGCUUGCAGUCGCCACUUGUGGUCCUGCACUCCUGCUCUGCCACAGCCCGCAGGAUAAGAAACAUGCUCCCCGUGCUCAUCGCUGGUGCCUCUGCGCCGCCGCGUCCCUUCUCCCCCUGGCGCCGGCGCGAGCUACCCAUCCGGCUGUCCUCGUCCAAACCUCCCCGUGCCCUGCAGAACCGCGAGGGCGGUAGUAGGCCCCUGGGGCGCGCCUGGCCGGCCGUCUCCGCUGCCCUCUUCGGCGCGGGGUUCCUCCUCGGGCCGCUCCUGGACGGCAUCCACUCCCGCGUCGGCCUCCAGGUGUACGGAAACGGCGCCCUCGACCUGGGCCCCCUCCACACUCACAUCCUGGUGCCGCCCCUGCUCGGAGCGUUCUACUGCACCGUGGGGCUGCUCCAGCUCUUCCUGGACGAGAGGGCGCCCCCGAGAUCCAAGGCCACCGGCAGCCCGCGCGACACGGCGACGUCGCUCAUAGUCCUCGCCCUGUUCAUCGAGCUGAGCGCGGAGAUGUACAGAGCGGGGGUGCCGAGCAACGUGGAGGCGUACGUGCUGUUCGCCGUGGCGGAGUUCGUGUGGCUCUUCCUCGACAGCUCCUGGCUCGGCUUCGCCCUGGCCUGCCUCGUCGGCGUCGCCUGCCCUCUCGCCGAGGUCCCGCUCGUCAGAUUGCUCGAGUGCUGGAGCUAUCCCAAUGCCGACGUCCAGCUGUUUGGCACCGGGCUGAUGAGCUGGACGACGACGUGCUACUUCGUGUACACGCCUUUCCUGGCGAAUCUGGCGAGAUUGCUCAAGUCGCGGCUAGCGGACGAUAAAACGGAGGGGAAGGAAGAAUGAAGCGGCUCGCCUAUGAGUUUCGGGGGAGCCCUCCUAUGGAGCCAGCGCAUGGUCAAACGGGUAGCGCAAGAAAAGCUGAGGCUCAAGAGCCAUUUGGGAUCGAUUCAGACUUUAGGGUCGGAUCAAGAUCGACUGAGCUGAGUAUUAUUGUCUUAUGUAGCUUAUCCAAAAACGAGCUGAUCUUGAGCCAAUGCUAUUUUAUUUUAUUUUGACGGGAGCCAAUGCUAUACUUUAGCCCCACUGCUCGCCAUAGCAUAAAUAUGCACUAUAAUGAUCCUACUCCUUUAGCAUUUUUAAAUUUAAGAAAAUAACAAAAAUAAUCAAUAAUUCUAAAACAUUUUUGGAGC